GGACACAUAGCUCAGCGGUAGAGCACUACGUUGACAUCGUAGUGGUCACAGGUUCGAUCCCUGUUGUGUCCACCA
rnacentral:tRNA from 1 species